rnacentral:rRNA from 1 species
UAGGGAUUCUUCAGCAAUGGGGGCAACCCUGACCGAGCAACGCCGCGUGAGUGAAGAAGGUUUUCGGAUCGUAAAGCUCUGUUGUAAGAGAAGAACGUGUGUGAGAGUGGAAAGUUCACACAGUGACGGUAACUUCCCAGAAAGGGACGGCUAACUACGUGCCAGCAGCCGCGGUAAUACGUAGGUCCCGAGCGUUGUCCGGAUUUAUUGGGCGUAAAGCGAGCGCAGGCGGUUUAAUAAGUCUGAAGUUAAAGGCAGUGGCUUAACCAUUGUUCGCUUUGGAAACUGUUAAACUUGAGUGCAGAAGGGGAGAGUGGAAUUCCAUGUGUAGCGGUGAAAUGCAUAGAUAUAUGGUGGAACACCGGUGGCGAAAGCGGCUCUCUGGUCUGUAACUGACGCUGAGGCUCGAAAGCGUGGGGAGCAAACAGG